AGUGAACGCUGGCGGUAGGCCUAACCCAUGCAAGUCGAACGGCAGCACAGUAAGAGCUUGCUCUUACGGGUGGCGAGUGGCGGACGGGUGAGGAAUACAUCGGAAUCUACUUUUUCGUGGGGGAUAACGUAGGGAAACUUACGCUAAUACCGCAUACGACCUACGGGUGAAAGCAGGGGAUCUUCGGACCUUGCGCGAUUGAAUGAGCCGAUGUCGGAUUAGCUAGUUGGCGGGGUAAAGGCCCACCAAGGCGACGAUCCGUAGCUGGUCUGAGAGGAUGAUCAGCCACACUGGAACUGAGACACGGUCCAGACUCCUACGGGAGGCAGCAGUGGGGAAUAUUGGACAAUGGGCGCAAGCCUGACCCAGCCAUACCGCGUGGGCGAAGAAGGCCUUCGGGUUGUAAAGCCCUUUUGUUGGGAAAGAAAAGCAGCAGGUUAAUACCCCGCUGUUCUGACGGUACCCAAAGAAUAAGCACCGGCUAACUUCGUG
rnacentral:rRNA from 1 species